rnacentral:rRNA from 1 species
UAGCUGGGGGCGUGCUCAUACAUGCAAGUCGAGCGGAUGUAGCAAUACAUCAGCGGCGGACGGGUGAGUAACACGUGGGCAACCUGGCCUUAAGAGGGGGAUAACGUCCCGAAAGGGACGCUAAUACCGCGUAAAUCAACGGAAUCGCAUGAUUUUGUUGGAAAAGGAGAAAUCCGCUUAAGGAUGGGCCCGCGGCCUAUUAGCUAGUUGGUAGGGUAACGGCCUACCAAGGCGACGAUAGGUAGCCGACCUGAGAGGGUGAACGGCCACACUGGAACUGAGAAACGGUCCAGACUCCUACGGGAGGCGGCAGUAGGGAAUAUUCCGCAAUGGGCGAAAGCCUGACGGAGCAACGCCGCGUGAGUGAAGAAGGUUUUCGGAUCGUAAAGCUCUGUCAACAGGGACGAAACAAGACGGUACCUGAGAAGGAAGCCACGGCAAACUACGUGCCAGCAGCCGCGGUAAUACGUAGGUGGCAAGCGUUGUCCGGAAUAACUGGGCGUAAAGCGCAUGUAGACGGCAUGAUAAGCCAAAUGUGAAAUGUAGGGGCUCAACCCCUGCACUGCGAUUGGAACUGUCAAGCUUGAGUGCAGGAGAGGCAAAUGGAAUUCCCAGUGUAGCAGUGAAAUGCGUAGAGAUUGGGAGGAACACCAGUGGCGAAGGCGAUUUGCUGGACUGCAACUGACGUUGAGAUGCGAAAGCCAGGGGAGCAAACGGGAUUAGAUACCCCGGUAGUCCUGGCCGUAAACGAUGGAUACUAGGUGUAGAGGGUAUCGACCCCUUCUGUGCCGCAGCGAACGCAAUAAGUAUCCCGCCUGGGGAGUACGGUCGCAAGACUGAAACUCAAAGGAAUUGACGGGGGCCCGCACAAGCAGUGGAGCAUGUGGUUUAAUUCGACGCAACCCGAAGAACCUUACCAGGUCUUGACAUUUAUGGAACUUAGCAGAGAUGCUUCGGUGCCCUUUCGGGGGAGCCAUAAAACAGGUGGUGCAUGGGUUGUC